rnacentral:rRNA from 1 species
AGUGAACGCUGGCGGCAGGCCUAACGCAUGCAAGUCGAGCGGCAGCGGGCUGUAGCAAUACAGUGCCGGCGAGCGGCGGACGGGUGAGGAAUACAUCGGAAUCUACCUUGUCGUGGGGGGAUAACGUAGGGAAACUUACGCUAAUACCGCAUACGAACUACGGUUGAAAGCGGAGGACCGCAAGGCUUCGCGCGAUUGGAUGAGCCGAUGUCGGAUUAGCUAGUUGGCGGGGGUAAUGGCCCACCAAGGCGACGAUCCGUAGCUGGUCUGAGAGGAUGAUCAGCCACACUGGAACUGAGACACGGUCCAGACUCCUACGGGAGGCAGCAGUGGGGGAAUAUUGGACAAUGGGCGGCAAGCCUGAUCCAGCCAUGCCGCGUGUGUGAAGAAGG